rnacentral:rRNA from 1 species
ACUCAAAUGAAUUGACGGGGACCCGCACAACCAGUGGAGCGUGUGGUUCAAUUCGAGACAAAACGAAGGACCUCACCAGGGUUUGACAUGAUACCGUUUAUUUUUCUAGAAAUAGAGAGAAAUCCGCAAGGAUGGUACCACAGGUGCUGCAUGGCUGUCGUCAGCUCGUGCCGUGAGGUGUUCCCUUAAGUGGGGAAACGAGCGCAACCCUCAUCCAAUGUUAAAUUAUUCAUUGGAAACUGAUGCUGUUUAAGCAGCGAAGGAAGGAGAGGAAGACGUCAAGUCAGCACGGCCCUUAUACCCUGGGCCACACACACACUACAAUGGCGAAUAACAACGAGCCGCAAGCACGCAAGUGCAAGCAAAUCUCUAAAAUUUCGCCUCAGUUCAGAUUGGAGUCUGCAACUCGACUCCAUGAAGUCGGAAUUGGUAGUAAUCGCAGGUCAGCAUACUGCGGUGAAUACGUUCUCGGGUCUUGUACACACCGCCCGU